UCGAGAAUUUUUGACAAUGGGGGAAACCCUGAUCGAGCGACGCCGCGUGGAGGAUGAAGGUCUUCGGGUUGUAAACUCCUGUCAUUUGGGAACAAGGUGCACGUAUUUACUGUACGUGUAUUGAUAGUACCAGAAGAGGAAGAGACGGCUAACUCUGUGCCAGCAGCCGCGGUAAUACAGAGGUCUCAAGCGUUGUUCGGAUUCAUUGGGCGUAAAGGGUGUGUAGGUGGCGCCGUAAGUCGGGUGUGAAAUCUCGGGGCUUAACUCCGAAACUGCAUUCGAUACUGCGGUGCUUGAGGACUGGAGAGGAGACUGGAAUUCAUGGUGUAGCAGUGAAAUGCGUAGAGAUCAUGAGGAAGACCAGUGGCGAAGGCGGGUCUCUGGACAGUUCCUGACACUGAGACACGAAGGCCAGGGGAGCAAACGGGAUUAGAUACCCGCGUAGUCC
rnacentral:rRNA from 1 species